AUCGAACGCUGGCGGCAGGCCUAACACAUGCAAGUCGAACGAGUGGCGGACGGGCGAGUAAUGUCUGGGAACCUGCCCGAUGGAGGGGGAUAACUACAGGAAACAGUAGCUAAUACCGCAUACCAUCGGUUGGGCCCAGAUGGUAUUAGCUAGUAGGUGGGGUAACGGCUCACCUAGGCGACGAUCCCUAGCUGGUCUGAGAGGCUGACCAGCCACACUGGAACUGAGACACGGUCCAGACUCCUACGGGAGGCAGCAGUGGGGAAUAUUGCACAAUGGGCGCAAGCCUGAUGCAGCCAUGCCGCGUGUAUGAAGAAGGCCUUCGGGUUGUAAAGUACUUUCAGCGGGGAGGCGUUACUCGCAGAAGAAGCACCGGCUAACUCCGUGCCAGCAGCCGCGGUAAUAC
rnacentral:rRNA from 1 species